UGGGUAAUAUUGGACAAUGGGCGAAAGCCUGAUCCAGCCAUGCCGCGUGUGUGAAGAAGGCCUUUUGGUUGUAAAGCACUUUAAGCGAGGAGGAGGCUACCGAGAUUAAUACUCUUGGAUAGUGGACGUUACUCGCAGAAUAAGCACCGGCUCACUCUGUGCCAUCAGCCGCGGUAAUACAGAGGGUGCGAUCGUUAAUCGGAUUUACUGGGCGUAAAGCGUGCGUAGGCGGCUUCUUAAGUCGGAUGUGAAAUCCCUUAGCUUAACUUAGGAAUUGCAUUCGAUACUGGGUAGCUAGAGUAUGGGGUAGGAUGGUAGAAUGCCAGGUGUAGCGGUGAAAUGCGUAGAGAUAUGGAGGAAUACCGAUGGCGAAGGCAGCCAUCUGGCCUAAUACUGACGCUGAGGUACGAAAGCAUGGGGAGCAAACAGG
rnacentral:rRNA from 1 species